rnacentral:misc_RNA from 1 species
AGCAGCCGCGGUAAUUCCAGCUCCAACAGCGUAUAUUAAAGUUGUUGCAGUUAAAAAGCUCGUAGUUGAAUUGAGGGAUUGACGUGACGGUCGUGCCUUACGGGGUAUGAAUGAACUGUUGCUGUUGAUUUUUCUCACCUUCUGGAGAAACUUGAUGUCCUUAAUUGGGUGUCUUGCGGAUCCAGGACCUUUACCUUGAAAAAAUUAGAGUGUUUAAAGCAGGCAUUUUGCUCGAAUACAUUAGCAUGGGAUAAUAGAAUAGGACGGCAUGGUUCUAUUUUGUUGGUUUCUAGGAUCACCGUAAUGAUUAAUAGGGAUAGUUGGGGGCAUUAGUAUUCAAUUGUCAGAGGCGAAAUACUUGGAUUUGUUGAAGACUAAUUACUGCGAAAGCAUUUGCCAAGGAUGUUUUCAUUAAUCAAGAACGAAAGUUAGGGGAUCGAAGACGAUCAGAUACCGUCGUAGUCUUAACCAAUAAACUAUGCCGACUAGGAAUCAGACGAUGUUAAUUUUUUAAUGAUUC